GCUGGAUAUCCCUGCCUACCUGGAGUCUUCUAAAGAACAGAUCCCUGGAUUUUUUUGCUACAAGCUUUGUCAUCUAGAAGAGCCUUCAAAUCCCUAGUGUGGCUAAUAAGACCUACCUGCUAAUAUAACUUAAAAGUAAUUAAAGAGCACUUCUGUGCAAGGUUUAAGUUCCUGAUAAAAGAAUGACUCAAUGGUGCACUUAUGCAGAUUCCUAGGAUCGCUGUCCUGUAAUAGCAAUUUAUAACUGAAAAGUUUCUGAAACUAUUUAGCAGUUUUCAGCCUCAAUUUGAAGAGAUGUCUGCCUGAAGAUUAAACAGUCAUGAAACCAGCUACCAAACGCAGCAAUCAAGAUACUGCUAACCAAGUUUAAUCCUGAUCUGGAAUAUCAUUAGAAAAUUUGGAGGAUUAAAGUACAUUACAUAUGG
ensembl:lncRNA